UACGGGGGGGGCAAGCGUUGUUCGGAAUUACUGGGCGUAAAGGGCUCGUAGGCGGCCAACUAAGUCAGACGUGAAAUCCCUCGGCUUAACCGGGGAACUGCAUCUGAUACUGGAUGGCUUGAAUCCGGGAGAGGGAUGCGGAAUUCCAGGUGUAGCGGUGAAAUGCGUAGAUAUCUGGAGGAACACCGGUGGCGAAGGCGGCAUCCUGGACCGGCAUUGACGCCGAGGAGCGAAAGCCAGGGGAGCAAACGGG
rnacentral:rRNA from 1 species